CGAACGAGUUUGAUCAUGGCUCGAGGAGUGAACGCUAGCGGCAGGCCUAACACAUGCAAGUCGGAGGGGCAGCACAAAAGGUAGCAAUACAUUGUCGGCGACCGGCGCGACGGGUGAGUAACGCGUAUGCAACCUACCCGACACAGGGGGAUAACCCGGAGAAAUCCGGACUAAUACCGCAUAAAACAGGGGUCCCGCAUGGGAAUAUUUGUUAAAAGAUUUUAUCGGUGUCGGAUGGGCAUGCGUUCCAUUAGCUAGUUGGUGAGGUAACGGCUCACCAAGGCCACGAUGGAUAGGGGGUUCUGAGAGGAAGGUCCCCCACACUGGUACUGAGACACGGACCAGACUCCUACGGGAGGCAGCAGUGAGGAAUAUUGGUCAAUGGACGGAAGUCUGAACCAGCCAAGUCGCGUGAAGGAAGACGGUUCUAUGAAUUGUAAACUUCUUUUGUCGGGGAGUAAAGUCAGCUACGCGUAGCUGUUUGCAAGUACCCGAAGAAAAAGCAUCGGCUAACUCCGUG
rnacentral:rRNA from 1 species